rnacentral:lncRNA from 1 species
AGCGAGGCUCCGUGCAGCCGCUGCCCGGGCUCCGUGGGGCCGCCUUCGCCGCCGGAAGCCCAGCCCCGAAAUGGCGGCGUGCGUUUGACCGGCGGCUCGUUGACGCGGCGAGCGGGGCGGGGGCUGUCCCCUCUCCGAGGUAACGCCGGGGCAGCCGGCGGCGCCAGGCUUUCCCCGAUACCCUGAGAAGUCCUCUGCGGCAGGGGAACGUACACAGACAUUACGUUUUUUUGGAAGUUCUAGAUGUAAAUUCCUGUGAUCCAACCCAAGGAAACAUGAGAAAGCAGGAAGUGAGAUGAGGGAAGAACCUAAGUGUUAGAAAGAGAAAAGGAGAAAGGGGGAAAAAGUCUCAUACAAACCUCAAGCAUAACUGGCCCAGGUUUAUUGCUCAGCAGGAGAGCACCUUUUGCUGGGUCUAGCAUAUGGCCAACAGAAGCUAUGUCAGUGUCUGCAAACUCAGCAAAUUCUGAAGGAAACUGGAUUAGGAAGCCAUUGUAUGGAUUAUUUCAAUACAAUUCCAGUAUGAUUGGACUAGAAUCAUUAGCUGAUCCCACAGACACCUGGGAAAUUAUAGAGACUAUUGGAAAAGGCACUUAUGGUAAAGUCUAUAAGGUUGCCAAUAAGAAAGAUGGGAGUCUGGCAGCAGUAAAGAUUCUCGAUCCUAUUAGUGAUGUUGAUGAAGAAAUUGAAGCAGAAUAUAAUAUUUUGCAGUUUCUUCCCAAUCAUCCUAAUGUUGUUAGAUUUUAUGGGAUGUUCUACAAAGCCGAUCAAUAUGUGGGAGGACAGCUCUGGCUAGUACUUGAGCUGUGCAAUGGAGGGUCUGUCACAGAACUUGUCAAAGGUUUGCUGAAGUGUGGCCAACAAUUGGAUGAAGCUAUGAUCUCAUACAUCUUAUAUGGUGCUCUCUUGGGCCUUCAGCAUUUACACAAUAACCGGAUCAUUCAUCGAGAUGUCAAAGGGAACAACAUUCUUCUGACAACAGAAGGUGGAGUCAAGCUCGUUGACUUUGGUGUUUCAGCCCAGCUCACCAGUACACGGCUACGUAGAAACACCUCAGUGGGAACACCCUUUUGGAUGGCUCCUGAGGUCAUUGCUUGUGAACAGCAGUAUGACUACUCAUAUGAUGCUCGAUGUGACGUAUGGUCUUUGGGAAUAACAGCUAUUGAACUCGGAGAUGGAGACCCUCCUUUAUUUGACAUGCAUCCGGUGAAAACUCUUUUUAAAAUUCCAAGAAACCCUCCUCCUACUUUGCUGCAUCCUGAAAAAUGGUGCAGAGGAUUCAACCAUUUCAUUUCACAGUGUCUUAUCAAGGAUUUCGAGAAACGUCCUACAGUCACCCACCUUUUGGAGCAUCCAUUUAUUAAACAAGUGCAUGGUAAAGAUAUGUCUCUGCAAAAACAGUUGGCUGAGCUUAUCCAAGAACAGCAGCGACUAGGCUCUGUAGCAAAAACAAGGCAUGAACGAAUACAUACCAAAAGACCCUACCAUGUGGAUGGAGCUGACAAGUACUCUCAAGAUGAUGAUCUGGUAAAUCUAGAAGUUCUUGAUGAGGAUACAAUUAUCCAUCAGCUGCAGAAACGCUAUGCUGACUUACAAAUUUAUACGUAUGUUGGAGAUAUUUUGAUAGCCUUAAACCCUUUCCAGAAUCUCAGCAUUUACUCUCCACAGUUCUCCAAGCUUUACCAUGGUAUGAAGCGCUCAUCCAAUCCCCCCCACAUAUUUGCCUCUGCAGAUGCUGCCUACCAAAGUAUGGUGACAUUCAGCAAAGAUCAGUGCAUUAUCAUCAGUGGGGAAAGUGGUGCUGGAAAGACAGAAAGUGCCCAUUUGAUCGUCCAACAUUUGACCUUCUUGGGAAAGGCCAAUAAUCGUGCUUUGCGUGAGAAAAUUCUUCAGGUGAAUCCUCUGGUUGAAGCAUUUGGGAAUGCCUGUACUGCCAUCAAUGACAACUCAAGUCGCUUCGGAAAAUAUCUGGAAAUGAUGUUUACACCCACAGGAGCUGUAAUGGGGGCAAAGAUUUCUGAGUAUCUACUUGAAAAGUCAAGGGUUAUAAAACAGGCUGUGGGAGAGAAAAAUUUCCAUAUAUUUUAUUAUAUUUAUGCUGGCCUUUAUCAUCAGAAGAAACUUUCUGAAUAUAGGCUUCCUGAAAAAAAGCCUCCUAGAUACAUUGAUAAUGAAACUGGAAGAGUAAUGCAUGAUAUUGUUACUAAGGAUUCCUAUGGAAGACAAUUUGAAGCAAUUCAGCAUUGCUUUAGAAGUAUAGGAUUCACUGAUGAGGAAGUGUAUUCAGUGUACAGAAUUCUGACUGGUAUCUUAAAUACUGGAAACAUCGAGUUUGCUGCCAUUUCUUCACAACACCAAACAGAUAAAAGUGAAGUUCCAAACCCAGAAGCCUUAGAUAAUGCUGCUGCACUGCUAAGUAUUGGGUCAGAAGAACUGCAAGAGGCCCUAACCUCCCACUGUGUUGUAACACGGGGGGAGACUAUUAUCCGAACAAACACUGUGGACAAAGCAGCUGACGUGCGAGAUGCCAUGUCUAAAGCACUUUAUGGCAGACUCUUCAGCUGGAUCGUAAAUCGCAUUAAUACGCUUCUUCAGCCAGAUAAAAAUAUAUGCAAUACUGAAAAUGGAAUGAAUGUUGGUAUACUAGAUAUAUUUGGAUUCGAGAACUUCGCAAGGAAUUCCUUUGAACAGCUGUGCAUAAAUAUUGCUAAUGAGCAGAUCCAGUUUUAUUUCAAUCAACAUAUUUUUGCACUUGAACAGAUGGAAUAUCAGAAUGAGGGAAUUGAUGCUGCUACAGUGGAGUAUGAAGACAACCGUCCACUUCUAGAUAUGUUCCUCCAGAAACCCAUGGGUCUCCUUUCUCUACUAGAUGAAGAAAGUCGAUUUCCUCAGGCAACAGACCUAACAUUAGUUGAUAAAUUUGAAGAUAACUUACGAUGCAAAUACUUCUGGAGACCAAAAGGAGUAGAAUUGUCAUUUGGUAUUCAGCACUAUGCUGGAAAGGUGAGGUCGUGUGAUUUUUAUUUAGUUAAAAUCAUAGUUUUUGUCCCUGCUGACAUAGUGGUGGUGCUGAGAACCUCAGAGAACAAACUUCUUCAGCAGCUGUUUUCUAGCCCACUAACCAAAACAGGUAACUUGGCACAGGCAAGAGCCAGAGUGACAGCGGCAUCUAGGUCUUUGCCUCCACAGCUUAGUGCUGGGCGUAUCAAGGUUGACACAAUGGAGGUUAUGCGACACCCUGAGGAAACAACUAACAUGAAGCGACAAACUAUGGCUUCCUAUUUUAGGUAUUCCCUCAUGGAUCUUCUAUCCAAAAUGGUUGUUGGACAGCCUCACUUUAUCCGCUGCAUUAAACCUAAUGAUGAUCGAGAAGCACUAACAUUUUCUCAUAAGAGAGUUCUACUGCAGCUACGAUACACUGGAAUUCUGGAAACCAUCAAAAUACGUCAAAAAGGAUAUUCUCAUCGCAUUCUUUUUGAAGAGUUUGUGAAAAGGUAUUACUACCUUGCUUUCAAGGCACAUGAGUCUCCACUUGGCAACAGAGAAAACUGUCUGACCAUUCUGGAGAAAGCUAAACUAGAAAACUGGAUUCUUGGAAAAACCAAGGUUUUUCUAAAGUAUUACCAUAUAGAGCAAUUAAAUUUGUUCCUGCGAGAAGUUAUAGGGAGGGUGGUGGUCAUGCAGGCUUAUAUCAAGGGAUGGCUUGGAGCAAGGAGGUAUAAGAAAGUCAAAGAAAAAAGAGAAAAUAGUGCUGUUACCAUACAGUCAGCUUGGAGAGGAUAUGAAGCUCGCAGGAAGUACAAGGAAAUAAGGAACAGAAGAAAUAAUGCUGCUAUACAUAUUCAAUGUUAUCUUACUGUAGGUUCAGAAAACUGUCUUGAACAGAAGCUGAGAACACCUCGUCGACGAUGUCAGCAGCCCAAAAUGCUGAAUAGCCCUGAGGACAACAUGUACUAUAACCAGUUAAAUGGAACUCUAGAAUAUCAAGGGAGCAAGAGGAACAACUGUAAACAGAAGAAGUCCUUUGUGAUAUUACAGAAUAUGCAAAACUUUCUAGAGAGGCUUCUAAAAAUAAACAAUUAA